GAAAGGAUAUCAAAUUAUGUUAUGUCAUCCACUUUUUGCAAUAGUGGUAAAACUUAUUUUGACAUAAACCAGUAUGGUAUCAUCUACAUUUGAGCACGGUGAACAUUUACAGUGAAAUUAAAGUGCGCGGCUACAAUAGAAAUUAUUAUAUGAAUAACAAUUGUGUAAUAUUUACUAAGCUGUAUGAUUAGGAGUACCAAAAUCUGCAUAAGUUGUGGGAGGUGAACGUUAGCGCUAGAUGUGAUGGAAUCGGCGGUAUCGCACCUGAGACAAUCACUUGACUGCAUCAAGGAGCUGCAAGCAGUACCAGACAUUGUCAAUCUUGACGGUCACAACCUAACUGUUGCUGCUUUGAAGCGUAUUGCCAGUGAUGAAAAUGUCAAGGUCAAACUAACAGAAAAAUCGGUGAAAGAAAUAGAAAAGAAUGCCAAAUUUCUAGAGAAUUUAGUAGACAAUGAUAGCAGUGUAUACAUAUAUGGUCUAAAUACUGGAGUUGGUGGAUCAGCGGAUGUUCGCGCCAAGAACGCUGCAGAUAUUCAAAAUUCUAUUCUGCGACAUCUAAACAUUGGAUUUGGAAGGACAUUUCCGCCAGGUCCUGUCCGCGCAGCAAUGGCUGUUAGAGCGAAUUCACUGAGCUUGGCAUAUUCUGGGGUCUCUGCAAAUUUUGUUCAAAAGCUUACAGAUCUCAUUAAUUGUAAUAUCGUCCCGGCUGUUCCAAUACGAGGAUCUAUUAGCGCCAGUGGAGAUCUCAUUCCUAUGAGCUAUGUUGCCGCCGCUUUGGUUGGAAGAGAAGACCUGAAUGUUUUUUACAAAGGAGAGCCAAAUGAAAUGCUUAUCAGCACUUCGGGCUGCCGAAAUAAAACCAGCGCUGAUGGUACAUAGAGACAUGUUGGCGGUUGUGAACGGUACUUCUUUCACAGUGGGUGUGUCCGCUCCUGUUCUGUACGAUGCCAAUAUCGCCUGCCUUCUAACCCAAGCUUGUACAGCUCUAGCAGUAGAGGCGCUUCAUGGAACUACAGAAAGUUUUCAUCCCAUUAUACAAGGUUGUAUGCCUCACUGCGGCCAGAUGGAAGUUGCCAAAAAUUUGCGUGAGCUUCUUCAUAACAGUAAACUAGCUGUUCAACGUCUAGAUAUGAACAAGAAAGAAACACUUUCAACACAUCGUUUGAAACAAGAUCGGUACAGUUUGCGUAGUGCAGCACAGUGGAUUGGUCCGGUCGUAGAGACAAUGAAAGAAGGCGAACAGAAAGUUCCGGAUUGAGUUACAAGGAGUCUCCGACAACCCAAUUAUUGAUCAUCGUACAGAAACUAUUCUAAAUGGCGCCAAUUUCCAAGGAGAAACAUUGUCACUUACUCUAGACCAGAUGCGACAAAGUCUUGGGGUUUGUGGGAAAUUGCUAUUUGCCCAAUUUUCUGAGCUUGUCAAUGUAAAUCUCAACUUUGACCUUCCACCAAACCUAUCUGGGAGCGACUUUCACGUGGACUUCGGUUUCAAAGGAGCUGAUAUCGCAAUGGCGUCCUACAUGUCCGAAUUAGAUCACGUGAUUAACCCAGUGAGUAAUCACGUCCGUCAGCGCUGAGCUUCACAAUCAAUCAGUGAACUCGUUAGCGUUGAUAAGUUGCCGCCUUACCAAAGAUGCUUUGGAGCUCCUCCAGAUGAUGUUAGCCAACCACUUAAACAUGCUUGUCCAAGCCGUUGAUCUUCGUUAUCUUCGCAAAAUGGCGUUGAAGCAACUAUAUCAUCUCAGUACACAGCACAUUGAAAUUGCCGAGUGCAUUCAUAAAACACACUGGUACGAAUUUGUCCUCCGUCCCAAUGAAAUAAUGAAAGAACUUGAAGUCAAAACUGAUGGGAAAAAGUCAUUGCUCGAGGCUGGACUAGUAGAUGGUUUGCAGAGUGUAUACAGCGAAAUGAAAGAGGGGAGAUGUCACACUGACAAAAGUCUCGGACAAGGAACUCGUCGUCUGUAUACCUUCGUUCGGGAGACAUUGGGAAUACCCUUCUAUCAUGGACAGGGACCAAUGGACAAAUGGAUUGAUGAUAUUUUUAACGCAAUCAAAGAUGGAAGGAUUGAUGACGUCGUCUUGGACGUUUUUGCAGAGAGAAAUGGGUGUCAUGAAAACUGUUGAAAUAACGUAACGGUCUCUAUUAUUGUCCAAAUUAAGAAGUGAUCAGCUUCCCUCUGUUAUUACCAUAUAGCAUAAACUAUGUUACAGACAGUUUACCGGCAGUGUAAUGCUGACGUGCGAGCCAAACCCUUUCCAAAUUCUCGGGAUAAUGUUCUCAUCACUGUUCAGAUGAAUGCGGUCAUUUUCGAUCCAACACUAGUAUCAGCACACCUUGGUUAUUAAUAGUGUUUGACAUAUUUCUCCAAGCUUUACACUCAUAGUAUACAUAUACAUACAUGUUUUUAAGAUUGGCAGGAAUGACUUACCACAAACCAACAAACGGGAAAACAUUUAUCUAAAACAGCAAAUUGAAACCGACAGGUCAUGACACGGCACUGAUCAUACAUCUGUCUCUAAAAUGACCUAAACAUUAAUUAUAUAUUUACAUCCUCAUAAAAGAUUAAACUGGCGACAAUCAAAAUUGUAUUACAGCUAAAACCAUUGGCAUAUGCUUCGGCCAUGUUUGGCUUGUGAAAAAGAUUUUUAGUGGCCGAUUCAAAGCAAUGUGAUUGGAGAUUGUACACAAGCUGGACCUCUGUGACAUAGUGGUUAUGGUCGCUGACCCUGAAUAACUUCCUACCGGCGCUGUGGAAUCAGGCCAAACUCUUUUUACCCAUGCAUGUGCAUGCAUUACUAGCAGUUUGACAAAAUGCCAGCAUGGGUUUUAGAUUCAGUUUCGACAAACCGUAAAUACGUCCACUUGGAUAUGAAAGUUUAAACACUCAAUUUUUGACUUCGCAUGUAUGUGUUGAAUGUUUAAAGAUAUUUUUGUUAGCAUAAAAGCUACAUUAUACCAUGCGCUCGUUUCGAGAAAAAUAUCGAUUUUUACAGACGUUUUUGAAGGGGGAAACAUGUUUUCGUCAUAAUCUUGACAUUAUUAUUGUAGGAAUCUUUAAAUUUGCUUCCAUCCGGGAGGAAGAUGCAUAAAUGUAUCUGAUCGAACAUAAAGCUAAAAUUUACACGAAAAAUCAAUUACGGAUACGGUAUAGUCAUUUCGGUCAUUGUGCAAAAAUAUUUCAUGGACAUUUUUACAAGGAAUGAAGUACUUGUAUCAGACAACCUCCGAAUAAAGACCACUAUAGUUACUAUAAAACCUGCUUUAAAAUGCCAAUAUUUUCUCUUCCCGUUUGACCAUAAAUUGCACGCAUUAGUCGGCAAAGUGAAGACGCUUUCCUUCGCUGAUGAAUGACCUUUGAAUCCUGGCCUAUCCCACUGCGGUGAGUCCCCCAGCAAGGCAAUUCAUGGUCGCAUCAACAGACCCAGCUGUGAAAAACUGAGUACCAGCAAAUUUCUGGUGGUAAGGUACAACUGUUUUAAAUUAGGCUCACUCAAAAGCUCGGCAGAGGUUACGUAAAUUGUUGCACAACGCGACGGUAAAAAUUUACCUUUACUGUUUAAAUUUAAAUGAACCAUUUUUCUACGCUUCCUAUGAAUGGUCUCCAUUGACAGGUCAAGCCCGCCCGCUUAGCUCAAUAGGGAGAGCGUC
rnacentral:lncRNA from 1 species